AUCGAACGCUGGCGGCAGGCCUAACACAUGCAAGUCGAGCGGGGUUUUCGGACCUAGCGGCGGACGGGGGAGUAAUGCGUAGGAAGCUGCCCGAUAGAGGGGGAUACCAGUUGGAAACGACUGUUAAUACCGCAUAAUGUCUACGGACCAAAGUGUGGGACCUUCGGGCCACAUGCUAUCGGAUGCGCCUACGUGGGAUUAGCUAGUUGGUGAGGUAAUGGAUCACCAAGGCGACGAUCUCUAGCUGGUUUGAGGGGAUGAACAGCCACACUGGCACUGAGAGACGAUCCAGACACCUACGGGAGGCAGCAGUGGGGAAUCUUGGACAAUGGGCGCCAGCCUGAUCAAGCCAUGCCGCGUGUGUGAAGAAGGCCUGCGGGUUGUAAAGCCCUUUCAGCGAGGAGGAAGGGGUGUGUGUUAAUAGUACACACCUUUGACGUUACUCGCAGAAGAAGCACCGGCUAACUCUGUGCCAGCCGCCGCCGUAAGAC
rnacentral:rRNA from 1 species